rnacentral:tRNA from 1 species
CGCCUCGUGGCCUAAUGGAUAAGGCAUCGGUCUCCUAAACCGGGAUUGCGGGUUGAACCCGCCGAGGUAG